rnacentral:lncRNA from 1 species
UUUCCUAUCUUCUUCUAAAACCCAGCACUCACCCAUGGAUGAGCAUGGAUGGGCAUAAAGCUGCUCAGGUCACACAGUGAAAUUUUCGUUUAUUUGCCAUUUUUUUCCAUCUCCGAUGCCCUCUCCUCUCCGCGUGGCUAAAUCCUACCCAUUUGUGAAAACAUUUGGGUUCCUCAGCAUGGCAUCAAAAAAAGACUUGUCCCUUCUGUUUCAAGCAAAAUAGCCUGAUCCUUAAGCUAGACCAUGGCCAGGGUUUUCUUGACCUGAGUGCUAACAACAACAACAACAACGACAACAACCCAGAAUGAAUACAAGGGCCCUACAUAAGUAAGAAGGCUACUAUAAUGAAAACAAACAAAAACAGAAAAAGAACCAAAAUAUAAGGUACAACCGCUGAACAGAAAUAAUUGACACAACUAGCCUUUUAGCUUUGGCUUUUAAGAAGUGGUAGGACUAUUGCACAUAUAUGUCUGUGCUUUUUUGUUUUCUUAAAUAAUAUUUGUGGUAGACAAUUAUAAGAUGACCUCCAAUGAGUGAUGGCCUUGUAUAAUCCCAUUCCCUUGAAUCCAGGCAAAAAUUUGGACUUGCUUCUAGUCAUUGGAAUAUGGUAAAGGUGAUGGGAUAGUCACACCCAUGACACAAUUAUGAUAUAUAAGCCAUUUUUCUUCUUUUUUCUUUUUUAGCAGACUGGAGAGAGAGACUCUCCAUUGUUCUACAGGAAAUAAGCUGCCACGUAGUGAGGGGAUCAUACAGCAAGGAUAUGUGCGUAGCCUCUAGCAACUGAGAAUGUUACCUGCUGGCAGCCAGCAAGAAAAAUGACAUCAGUCGUACAAUCUCAAGGAUCUAAAUUCUGCCAACAGCCACACGGGUUUUGGAGAAGACCUUGAGCUCCAAAAAGGAAUGCUGUCUGACCAACACCUUGAUUGCAGCCUUGUGAGACUCUGAGCAGGCGAUCCAGCUCCACCGUUGACACAGGCACUGGCGCUUACUCUAGGAGUCAGUCCUUGGAGCACAGGGGUUAGCUGUCAUUUGCAAACUCACCACCGACUGGAAGCAAAGCUAGAAGACGGGCUGCCAAAGCCAACCACUGCAACCUGUGGCAGCCUCCCCUGCCCAGGCUCUCCCACUGCCCUUGGAGUGAGAUCCCUCCCCCUCAAUCCUGCACAGCGACGUGGCUGGCUGCAGCUUUCCCCGCACCUGUCGCACCUCCCGGGUUUGGCAGAAUGAAAUGAGGAGACAGCUGGAGUCAUUAUAGUUCAUCUGUUUGAAGGUUGCCCAAAUGAAAAACAAACAAACAAAUCUGGUGAGUUUCGUG